UAGGGAAUCUUCCACAAUGGACGCAAGUCUGAUGGAGCAACGCCGCGUGAGUGAAGAAGGUUUUCGGAUCGUAAAGCUCUGUUGUUGGUGAAGAAGGAUAGAGGUAGUAACUGGCCUUUAUUUGACGGUAAUCAACCAGAAAGUCACGGCUAACUACGUGCCAGCAGCCGCGGUAAUACGUAGGUGGCAAGCGUUGUCCGGAUUUAUUGGGCGUAAAGCGAGCGCAGGCGGAAGAAUAAGUCUGAUGUGAAAGCCCUCGGCUUAACCGAGGAAUUGCAUCGGAAACUGUUUUCUUGAGUGCAGAAGAGGAGAGUGGAACUCCAUGUGUAGCGGUGGAAUGCGUAGAUAUAUGGAAGAACACCAGUGGCGAAGGCGGCUCUCUGGUCUGCAACUGACGCUGAGGCUCGAAAGCAUGGGUAGCGAACAGGAUUAGAUACCCUGGUAGUCCAUGCCGUAAACGAUGAGUGCUAAGUGUUGGGAGGUUUCCGCCUCUCAGUGCUGCAGCUAACGCAUUAAGCACUCCGCCUGGGGAGUACGACCGCAAGGUUGAAAC
rnacentral:rRNA from 1 species